rnacentral:lncRNA from 1 species
GUUGCCAUUAAAAAUGUCUGUAUAAUACAAGUUUUUGUGUAAUCAUAUGUUUUUAUUUCUCUUCAUGUUUAACGAUUUGAGGAGCUGCCAGACUGUUUUGAAAAGUGGCUGCACUGUAUUACAUUUCCACCAGCAAUGUAUGAAGGCUCAAAAUUUUCCGCAUCUUCAUCAACACAUUGUUUUCCGACUUUCUAAAAUUACAACCAUCCUAAUAUGUGGAGUAGUAUCUCAUUGUGGUUUUGAUUUGCAUUUCCUUGAUCACUAAUGAUGUUGAGCAUACUGUCAUAAGUUUAUUGCCUAUUUAUAUAUCUUCUUUAAAGAAAUUUAUAUUAAGAUUCUUUGACCACGUUUAAUUGGGCUUUUUUUAUUACUGAGUUGUAAGAGUUCUUUGUUUAUUCCAGGUACAAGUAACCUAUUAUAUACAUAAUUUGCAAAUAUUUUCUGUCAUUCUGUGGAUUGCAUUUUUACUUUUUAAUAUUACCCUUUGAAGCACGAAAGUUUCUAAGUUUGUUAGAGUUCAAUUUACUUAUUUUUAGUUUGUUGCUUGUGGUUUGGUAUCUUACAUAAGAAAUCAUUUCCUAAUCCAAGGUGACAAAAAUUGAUGUCUAUGCUUUCUUCUAACAUUUUAUAGAAUUAAGCCUUACGUUUAGGUCUUUCAUUCAUUUUGAGUUAAAUUUUGAAUAUGGUGUGAGAUAGGGAUCCAACUUUAUUCUUUUUCAUGUGGAUAUCUAGUUGUCCCAACACCAUUUGAAGAGACGAUUCUUUUCACAAUAAAUUGUCUUAGCAUCUUUGAUGAAAAUCAGUUGUACAUAAAGGUGAGAGUUUAUUUCUGGUCUCUCAGUUCUGUUCUAGUGAUCUUUAUGUCUAUCUGUAUGUUAGUACCACACUGUCUUUAUUAUUAUAGCUUUGUAAUAAGUUGUGAAGUUGGGAAGUGCGAGUCCUCCAACAUUUUUCUCCUUUGUAAAAACUAUUUUGGCUAUCCUGCAUUCCAGGUAUUUUGAUAUGGAUUUUAUUAGAAGCUUGUCAAGUUCUGCAAAAUAGGCAACUGGAAUUUUAAUGGGGAUUGCAUUGAAUCUGUAGAUUGUUUUUGGUAGUAUCUUAACAAAACUUAACAAUAUUAAAUCUUGCAAUCCAUAAACAUAGGAUGUCUUCCCAUUUAUUUAGAGAUUUGGAAAUUUUUUUCAAUAAUGCUUGUUGUUUUCAGAGUAUAAGUUUGCACUUCUUUUGUUUAUUUGAUUCCUGUAUAUUCCUGUAAGGUCUAUACAUCCCACUUGAAGUUGUACAACAUUGAUUAAAAAUAGAUUUUUAAAC